rnacentral:rRNA from 1 species
GUGGGGAAUAUUGGACAAUGGGCGCAAGCCUGAUCCAGCCAUGCCGCGUGAGUGAUGAAGGCCCUAGGGUUGUAAAGCUCUUUCACCGGUGAAGAUAAUGACGGUAACCGGAGAAGAAGCCCCGGCUAACUUCGUGCCAGCAGCCGCGGUAAUACGAAGGGGGCUAGCGUUGUUCGGAAUUACUGGGCGUAAAGCGCACGUAGGCGGGUAUUUAAGUCAGGGGUGAAAUCCCGGAGCUCAACUCCGGAACUGCCUAUGAUACUGGGUACCUAGAGUAUGGAAGAGGUAAGUGGAAUUCCGAGUGUAGAGGUGAAAUUCGUAGAUAUUCGGAGGAACACCAGUGGCGAAGGCGGCUUACUGGUCCAUUACUGACGCUGAGGUGCGAAAGCGUGGGGAGCAAACAGGAUUAGAAACCCGGGUAGUCC